UGCCUGGAUAACUACUACAGAGUGGGUCCAGACCACCGCUGCCUGCCAUGUAGCUGUAACCCUGUUGGCUCUCUGAGCACUCAGUGUGACAACACGGGUCGUUGUAGCUGCAAACCAGGUGUCAUGGGAGAUAAGUGUGACCGCUGCCAGCCCGGAUAUCACUCAUUAACGGAAGCAGGCUGCAGCUGCAGCGGAUGUGAGUUGCAAGGAUGCCCAGAGGAUGCAGAGAGGCUACAGCAGACGUUUAACGGAUGAUAACGGACAUAGAACGUUUGUUGCUCGUAUAUGUCGCGGAUUUACAUCGUACACGGCGGAAAGUUCAUCCGUUCUAAAAGUUUUGUGCAGCUCAAAACUUUUUGCGCGGAUGAAAUCACAGUGGACGGAUGCUCGAUGGAUAGAGCGUAUGAAGCACGUAUGCAAUGAGUACACAACUGAUGCAUAGCGUUUUCCAACGGAUGGCAAAUAUUUUUUUACGUUUUACAUCCUCUUUGCAUCCGUAAGUGCAGUGGG